UAAAAAGCUCGUAGUCGAACCUUGGGCCUGGCUGGCCGGUCCCCCUCACCGGGUGCACUGAUCCAGCCGGGCCUUUCCCUCUGUGGAACCCCAUGGCCUUCACUGGCUGUGCGGGGGAAACAGGACUUUUACUGUGAAAAAAUUAGAGUGCUCCAGGCAGGCCUAUGCUCGAAUACAUUAGCAUGGAAUAAUAGAAUAGGACGUGUGGUUCUAUUUUGUUGGUUUCUAGGACCGCCGUAAUGAUUAAUAGGGACAGUCGGGGGCAUCAGUAUUCAGUUGUCAGAGGUGAAAUUCUUGGAUCUACUGAAGACUAACUACUGCGAAAGCAUUUGCCAAGGAUGUUUUCAUU
rnacentral:rRNA from 1 species